ACUGUGCAUUUGGAUAUUUUUAAGGGCAGUUCUUUAUUAUUAUCCAAGUGUGUGACUAUCAAAAAAGGGAAACGCCGUCCACACCACACUCCUUCCGGUUUCUCCAGAAAGAGCGGACUGUGCUGCAGCCGGUGCCCCCAAGGGCAUGGCGAGCCCCCCACCCGCACCCCCGCCCCGCCUGCCGGGACAGGUCAGGCUCUGGCCCCACAGCCCCUCGUCCCUGCGUCCCUCCCAGCCACCGAGAGUGACACAGCAUUGCACGGGGCACACACGGGCCAGCAGUUUGGAGUCACCCACGUAGACGCCCCAGCUCUUACUUCCUCCCCAGAAACGAGGUCAAAGAACGCUUCAUGCAAAUCCCCACCUUAUGAGCUCAGUUUUUGUCAUGAACCAUCCUCCCAUUUCCAGGUAACCGCCUGUGGUGCAGAAAGGAAACACGGAGCGGGUGCGUUAGCCGCGCACAGCAUGGUCCACGUGCGGAGCGCAGCCAGGCCACAGUCUGGGCCCAGCGAGGGACGGCGGGCCGGUCACUGUCUGGGCCCAGUGAGCAUUCUCUGCUCCACCGGGCACGACGGAAUCCUGCGGUUCUGAGUCUCUGGUUUAGAGCUUACUGUUGCUUCAUGUUGCCCUAAACGAAGACAGAACAACACACGGUCCUGGGCGGGCCACCUUCCCGCCCACCCAGCCGCAGCGCCCAGGACGAAAGCUGCCGGAAUGCACUUCCUCGUGGGGCUGGUCCUGCCGAGGGUGCGGUCGGGACGGGGAGCGGUGCCGAGGGAGGAGGAGGCCGGCCACCCUGCCGUCCCCAGGCAUGCGUGCGGCCAAGGGCCACCCGGGCUCGAGACACAUGAUCGUGAGGUGGGAUGUCAGAAGAGACUGGAAAGGCAGGUCCCUCCGCUCUCCGUGUCCCAGACACCCGUCCUUCCCAGUCUCCUCCCUGCAAACCCCACACAGAGGGCCCUGGCCUUGGGCUGAGAUAAAUACCACGGAACUGGCUGUGAGUUAAGCAGGCCUGGCAGCCCCAACCUCACUCAGCCAACUGUGAAGCCUGCCAUCUGGAACCCCACCCCGCGCAACUGCCCCAUGUCGGCCCCGUUAAGCCCGAAUACCCCGCUGUAUGGACACACACAGCUUGUUCGCCUGCUCCUCCGUUGACGGACAUUCGGGUCGCUUCCACCUGUCGGCUGUUGCGAAUAAGGCUGCUGUGAACGUGGGUGCGCACAGAUGCCCCCGAGUCCCUGCUCUCGGGGGGAUACGCCGAGAGAAGCCCCCGGAAGGAGAGGAGCAGUGGGUGUGCUCCAGAGAGAUGCCGCCACAUGGCCUGAGAAACCACGUCUGGGCCAAGGCAGCCCAGAGACAGCUCUGGCCCCUGCGGGCGCCAGGCUCCGCGCCACCUGCCCACAUGGAGAGAGCAUCCCACACGCGCCGAGCCCAGGCGUAAACCGGGAGUCCACCGUGGUGGGGGAGGGGCUUCCGGCCAGGGGCUGACUUCGGGCCCACGGGGAGCAGCGGGGAGAAGGGGGCUUGCCCGCCGAGAGCGCCGGGCCCGGGGCGCCUGGUGGGCGGGCACCUGCGCCUCCGCCGUCUCCGCACGAAAGCUGUGGCUCCCGGCACAUCAGCCGAUUU